rnacentral:rRNA from 1 species
GUGAGUCAUCGAAUCUUUGAACGCACCUUGCGCCCCUUGGCUAUUCUGAGGGGCAUGCCUGUUUGAGUAUCAUGAACACCUCAACUCUCAUGGUUCGCCGUGAUGAGCUUGGACUCUGGGGGUUUUGCUGGCCUGCGGUCGGCUCCCCUCAAAUAAAUCAGCCUCCCAGUGUUUGGUGGCAUCACGGGUGUGAUAAAUAUCUACGCUCGCAGUUGUCCGCCAGGUAACCUUUGGUGACAAAGGUUCGCUGGAGCUCACAGAUGUCUCUCCUCAGCGAGGACAGCUUUUUGAACGUUCGAUCUCAAAUCAGGUAGGACUACCCGCUGAACUUAAGC